UACUCUCGGCCUUUUGGUCCAGAUCAAGUGUAGUGAGAGGUGACACCAUGAUCACCCAGGUGGUUUGCCCAGGGCAGGUGAUUGUCUCUGAUAUGUCCUCCAUCUGAGGUCUAUAUUGAGCAGAUUCUUUUUGGUGUUGGGUGGUGGAACCGGAGCUUGCUCCAUCCACUCCAUGCCUUGACCUGGUAUUGCAGUGCUUCCAGGACCGGUGCAAAAAAA
rnacentral:snRNA from 1 species